GCCGUGCUGAGCGGAGUGCAGCCCGGGUUGGAGAAAGGUCCGCUCCGGAUCGGGUUGUACUGGAAGGAGCUGGCCUGGCUGCAGGAGCUGAAGUCCGCGUAGGCCGACGCUUCCAUGGCCGCCAUGCAGGAGUCAUAGGAGUUCAGAGUGAAAGCAGCAGUUCCUCUUUAAGGUCAGAGAUUGCAGCAUCUGAGGGCCUCUUCAAAAGAAGACUCAGUUGAUGAAGAUGUUCUGGAGCAGGGCCAGAAAGACCACGACCAAACAGCCUUGAGAGCUUAGGCAGUGUCUCCCUCAGUUCAAAGGUCCCAGUCUAUCUCCCCACACAUCCACCAACCACUGGAACUCAUCUCCAAAGUUCUGCUGAAGCUCAGCUUCCCUUCAGAAGAAGUGCCGCCAGAUGAAGGAGCCUUUUGAGAGGCAGCUAGCAUCUUGAUUAGACCAUACUUUGGUCUGAUCCAAUCUAACUUCAGCUCCAGAGACGGCAGGCGGGACGAGUCAACGGAGGCCGAGUGGACGAAGGCAUGCAGCUGAGUACAUCCAUCCAUCCAUUCUCUAUACACCGCUUCAUCCUCACUAGGGUCGUGGCGAAGGCAGGGGACACCCUGGACAGGUCGCCAGUCUACAUAUACAGACAAACAAUCACACUCACAUUCACACCUAUGGACAAUUUAGAAUAAUCAGUUAACCUCAGCAUAUUUUUGGACUGUGGGAGGAAGCCGGAGUACCUGGAGAAAACCCACGCAUGCACAUGGAGAACAUGCAAACUCCAUGCAGAAAGAUCCCACGCCGGGAUUUGAACCGGGGAUCUUCUUGCUGCAAGGCAAAAGCGCUGACCACUACUCCACUGUGUAGCCCCAGCUGAGUACAAUCCAGAAAACAACAGAGGAGGAAUGCAGCGGCCCAGGGCCCGAACAAACAGAGUAGCAUAGUAUUUCUCUUAGAAAAUAUCAUAUUAUAGCCUUUGGUUUAAAAAACGACAUCAUUUACAUCAUAUAUUGUGCAAAUAA